rnacentral:tRNA from 1 species
AUUUAUAUAGCUUAUUUAGAGUUUAAUAUUGAAGAUAUUAGGGAAGUUUAUUUAUUACUUGUAAAUA